CCUACGGGAGGCAGCAGUGGGGAAUAUUGCACAAUGGGGGAAACCCUGAUGCAGCAACGCCGCGUGAGUGAUGAAGGCCUUCGGGUUGUAAAGCUCUGUCUUUGGGGACGAUAAUGACGGUACCCAAGGAGGAAGCCACGGCUAACUACGUGCCAGCAGCCGCGGUAAUACGUAGGUGGCAAGCGUUGUCCGGAUUUACUGGGCGUAAAGGGAGCGUAGGUGGAUAUUUAAGUGGGAUGUGAAAUCCCCGGGCUUAACCUGGGGGCUGCAUUCCAAACUGGAUGUCUAGAGUGCAGGAGAGGAGAGUGGAAUUCCUAGUGUAGCGGUGAAAUGCGUAGAGAUUAGGAAGAACACCAGUGGCGAAGGCGACUCUCUGGACUGUAACUGACACUGAGGCUCGAAAGCGUGGGGAGUAAACAGGAUUAGAUACCCUGGUAGUCCACGCCGUAAACGAUGGGUACUAGGUGUAGGGGUUUCGAUACCUCUGUGCCGCCGUUAACACAAUAAGUACCCCGCCUGGGGAGUACGGUCGCAAGAUUAAAACUUAAAGGAAUUGACG
rnacentral:rRNA from 1 species